AUCAACAUGAAUGCAAAAAUUGUGGAACAAGAAAUCAUCCACAGAGUGGAUUGUGUUAAGUACGGUUUAAACCUAGA